rnacentral:rRNA from 1 species
ACGAACGCUGGCGGCGUGCUUAACCCAUGCAAGUCGCACGGAAAGGCCCUGCUUGCCGGGUACUCGAGUGGCGAACGGGUGAGUAACACGUGGGUGAUCUGCCCUGCACUUCGGGAUAAGCCUGGGAAACUGGGUCUAAUACCGGAUAGGAGCCAUUUUUAGUGUGAUGGUUGGAAAGUUUUUUCGGUGUAGGAUGAGCUCGCGGCCUAUCAGCUUGUUGGUGGGGUAAUGGCCUACCAAGGCGGCGACGGGUAGCCGGCCUGAGAGGGUGGAUGGCCACAUUGGGACUGAGAUACGGCCCAGACUCCUACGGGAGGCAGCAGUGGGGAAUAUUGCACAAUGGGCGCAAGCCUGAUGCAGCGACGCCGCGUGGGGGAUGACGGCCUUCGGGUUGUAAACUCCUUUCGCUAGGGACGAAGCUUUUUGUGACGGUACCUAGAUAAGAAGCACCGGCUAACUACGUG